rnacentral:rRNA from 1 species
GAUGAACGCUGGCGGCGUGCCUAAUACAUGCAAGUCGAGCGAACGGACGAGAAGCUUGCUUCUCUGAUGUUAGCGGCGGACGGGUGAGUAACACGUGGAUAACCUACCUAUAAGACUGGGAUAACUUCGGGAAACCGGAGCUAAUACCGGAUAAUAUUUUGAACCGCAUGGUUCAAAAGUGAAAGACGGUCUUGCUGUCACUUAUAGAUGGAUCCGCGCUGCAUUAGCUAGUUGGUAAGGUAACGGCUUACCAAGGCAACGAUGCAUAGCCGACCUGAGCGGGUGAUCGGCCACACGGGAACUGAGACACGGUCCAGACUCCUACGGGAGGCAGCAGUAGGGAAUCUUCCGCAAUGGGCGAAAGCCUGACGGAGCAACGCCGCGUGAGUGAUGAAGGUCUUCGGAUCGUAAAACUCUGUUAUUAGGGAAGAACAUAUGUGUAAGUAACUGUGCACAUCUUGACGGUACCUAAUCAGAAAGCCACGGCUAACUACGUG